UGAAAUUACAGAUAAUUAUUAGACUGAAAAUGCCGUCUUUUGGCUGAAUCACUCUGAUCAAUCAAAAUCACCAUAUUUCGGCUGAGAUUGCA
rnacentral:snoRNA from 1 species